CGGCUAUAAUCUCAUCAAUAGAAUCCUCCCAAGAUUCAACCGCUUCAAUCUCUUGGCAUAGAUCUAAAGCAAGUCGACCUCCAAUUGCUGCCUCCUCAUGGUUAUCUUUUACUUCCAAGUUGAUUACCAGCACACUUUUCAUAAGAGCUUGAUCCCUGUUAUGGAGAUCUUCAAUAACCAUAUCAAAAACCUUCUCUUCAAAUGAGAGCACCACAUCAAAUGAACCAUCAGCAGCAUUCUCUUGCCAACGUUGAGGUGCCAAUUUGACAGAUGAAUUCCUUUU
rnacentral:misc_RNA from 1 species